rnacentral:rRNA from 1 species
CCUACGGGAGGCAGCAGUAGGGAAUCUUCCACAAUGGGUGAAAACCUGAUGGAGCAAUACCGCGUGAGUGAAGAAGGUCUUCGGAUCGUAAAGCUCUGUUGUUAGAGAAGAACAAGUCGGGUAGUAACUGCCCCGGCCUUGACGGUAUCUAACCAGAAAGUCACGGCUAACUACGUGCCAGCAGCCGCGGUAAU